CAAUAGCGUAUAUUAAAGUUGUUGCAGUUAAAAAGCUCGUAGUUGAAGAUACGAACGCUUACACUAGAACAAAGUUUCCGGUGUCUGCGUUCACUUUUCGCAAAGACAGCCUGGCCCAUUAGUUUGGGUCUUGUUUGAGUUGCGUCAUUUACUGUGAACAAAUUAGGGUGUUUAAAGCGGGCCUACGUUUGAAUACACUAGCAUGGAAUAAUAAGAUAUGAUCUUGGUCGUAUUUUGUUGGUGACUACCAAGAUAAUGAUUGAUAGAAACUGUUGUGGGUAUUCGUAUGAGCAUGUCAGAGGUGAAAUUCUUGGAUUUUGAUCAGACGAACUACUGCGAAAGUAUUUACCAAGGAUGUUUUCAUUAA
rnacentral:rRNA from 1 species